ACUCCGACCUGGGGCUACUAGCCCGAGGACAGGUUUCCUAAGCCCUGUGGCUUUUUCUGGACUUCGUGUGCGCAACUUUUAGCAUUUGAAAUAAAACGGAAUAGAAGUGGAAGUUGCAUAGAAGAUUAAGCAUAAAGAACACUUGCCUCUUGGGAAGAAGAGAGCUAUCCUCUUUACCUGGUGCUUAAAUUAUACUCGUCUCUACAGCUGAAACUACAGACUAGACUACUAGACCACAGUUAAACAAGGUUUAGUCUGAAUAAGCUGCUAAUGGAGCAGAUGAGCUGGUACCAGGAAAGCAGGACAAGUGGAUGUGUAUUGUUCUGUCGACUCCAGUACAUGCAAUCACAGUCCUAGCAAACACCUUCUCUGAAUUUACCAAUCUACAAUCAACAUGGAAUUAGAAACCAGAGUAUAUUCACAUUUUUUAAUAAUUAAAUCCUGGAAGUCACAGUCCAUUUUUAUCCUCCUUACCAGGCUACAUCAUGAAAAAUCUACAGAAAAAAAAAUUGAACAAAAGUAUUUUAAAGUUGAAAGAAAAAUUCUACACAUAAUAAAUCUACCUUAGGAACAGGGACCUCAGUCAACCCUGAAAGGAGAACAGCAGGAGCCAAUCUCACAAAUGCAAUUAUAGGUCUUUCCAGAAAGUCCACUUCUCCUACCAGCACAUUGGAUGCCUCGGCUCCCGAGGGAAUUUUUCUCAUGAAAUUCAUAUCAACCUAUUGACAAAUAAAGAAUAAUUAAAAAUCAAA